rnacentral:ncRNA from 2 species
AUAUUUUUCAGGCAAACUUAUUGAAAAAUAAGGACGCAAAGCUAUAGGGCCGUUAAAGGGGACGGCAGCCAGUUGCAAGA